rnacentral:rRNA from 1 species
CAGCCCUAAACGAUGCGCGUUAGGUGUAUCGGUGACCACGAGUCACCGAGGUGCCGAAGGGAAACCGUGAAACGUGCCGCCUGGGAAGUACGGUCGCAAGGCUGAAACUUAAAGGAAUUGGCGGGGGAGCACCGCAACGGGAGGAGCGUGCGGUUCAAUUGGAUUCAACGCCGAAAAACUCGCCAGGGGCGACGGAUAUAUGAAGGUCAAGCUGAAGACCCUGCAUGACCAGCUGAGAGGAGGUGCAUGGCGUAGUCGUGU